GGGGCGUAAGGGUGCGUAGGCGGUUCCGUAAAUCUUGUGUGAAUUCUUCGGGCUCAACUUGAAGUCUGCUUUGUGACUGCCGGGCUUGAGUGUGGGAGAGGUGAGUGGAAUUUCCGGUGUAGCGGUGAAAUGCGUAGAUAUGUGGAAGGAACACCUGUGGCGAAAGCGGCUCACUGGACCAUAACUGACGCUGAUGCACGAAAGCUGGGGAGCAAACAGGAUUAGAUACCCUGGUAGUCCUACCCCUAAACGAUGAUCGCUUGUGGUGGCGGGUACCCUCUCCCGUCACGCCGCUACUAACGCGUUAUGCGAUCCUGCUGGGGAGUACGGUCGCAAGGCUGAAACUCAGAGGAAUUGACGGGGGCCCGCACAAGCGGUGGAUCAGGUGGAUUAAUUCGACGCAACGCGAACAACCUUACCUGGGCUCAAAAUGUAAAGGAAUCCGGUGGAAACAUCGUGCUUCUAGCAAUAAACCUCUAUAUAGUGUGCUGCAUGGCUGUCGUCAGCUCGUGUCGUGAGAUGUUGGGUUAAGUCCCGCAACGAGCGCAACCCUUAUUACCAGUUGCUACCAUUUAGUUGAGCACUCUGGUGAGACUGCCUCGGAUAACGGGGAGGGAGGCGGGGGAUGACCUCCAGUCCUCAUGGCCUUAAUGUCCCGGGCUACACACGUGCUACAAUGCUCAGUACAAACCGGUGCAAACCCGCAAGGGAUAGCUAAUCGGAAAAAGCCGGCCUCAUUUCGGAUUGCAGUCUGCGACUCUGCUGCUUGAAUCUGGAAUCGCUAGUGAUCGCGGAUCAGAGUGCAGCGGUGAAUACGU
rnacentral:rRNA from 1 species